CAGACAGUGCUCUUAUAUAGUUACGGUACAGUAAUCGUAUAGGUACAGUACGCAAAGUUGGUGAGUGUGGUUUGCUCGGUACAGUAAUUGUAUACAGUACGCCAAUAGGUUGGUGAGUGUGGUUUGCUCGGUACAAUCGUAUACAGUACGCAAGAUUGGUGAGUGUGGCUUACUCGGUACAGUUAUCGUAUACAGAACGCUAACAGACUUAAACAAGCAUUUGGUUUACAAAAUAUUUGUUCGAACCUAUUCAGUCAAGUCACGCACAGCUAUGGUUAUUGACAGCAAGAAAUAUAACCUUAUAAUUCCGGUGAAUUUCUGAAUUUCGUUGCGUUUGCGCCAGUCACCUUUGGAUAUACUCCGCUUGGCGCCCUCAGAGUUCUUGUAGCGUAAGUACCGUAUAUUUGUAAAUGUGCCUAUAUACCAUUGCUCUUUGGGUAAUCCCACUUCACGCUUCGUUUCGUUUCAUUUUUAGUAAUUUUAUACAAAAACAAUUCCAUAUUUCAGAUAUGUUAAACAAAAUAUGAAAUUAAAUUGGAGUUUAAAUUUAUCAUUCCUAUGCUGUAGGCCUAGAACAUAAUCUUCGAUGAGACUCAUGUAUUAAGGCUAGGUGAAACUACAG